rnacentral:rRNA from 1 species
CAGUCCCACGGUAAUACGGAGGGUGCAAGCGUUAAUCGGAAUUACUGGGCGUAAAGCGCACGCAGGCGGUCUGUCAAGUCAGAUGUGAAAUCCCCGGGCUUAACCUGGGAACUGCAUUUGAAACUGGCAGGCUAGAGUCUUGUAGAGGGGGGUAGAAUUCCAGGUGUAGCGGUGAAAUGCGUAGAGAUCUGGAGGAAUACCGGUGGCGAAGGCGGCCCCCUGGACAAAGACUGACGCUCAGGUGCGAAAGCGUGGGGAGCAAACAGGAUUAGAUACCCCGGUAGUCCCUGUCUCUUAUACA